CCUACGGGAGGCAGCAGUGAGGAAUAUUGGUCAAUGGACGAGAGUCUGAACCAGCCAAGUAGCGUGAAGGAUGACUGCCCUAUGGGUGGUAAACUUCUUUUAUAUGGGAAUAAAAUGUUCCACGUGUGGGAUUUUGUAUGUACCAUAUGAAUAAGGAUCGGCUAACCCCGCGCCAGCAGCCGCGGUAAUACGGAGGAUCCGAGCGUUAUCCGGAUUUAUUGGGUUGGAAGGGAGCGUCGGGGGAUUGUUAAGUCAGUUGUGAAAGUUUGCGGCUGAACCGUAAAAUUGCAGUUGAAACUGGCAGUCUUGAGUACAGUAGAGGUGGGCGGAAUUCGUGGUGUAGCAGUGAAAUGCUUAGAUAUCACGAAGAACUCCGAUUGCGAAGGCAGCUCACUGGACUGCAACUGACACUGAGGCUCGAAAGUGUGGGUAUCAAACAGGAUUAGAUACCCCUGUAGUC
rnacentral:rRNA from 1 species